AUUGAACGCUGGCGGCAGGCCUAACACAUGCAAGUCGAACGAGAGGCGGACGGGUGAGUAAUGUCUGGGAAACUGCCCGAUGGAGGGGGAUAACUACUGGAAACGGUAGCUAAUACCGCAUACCAUCGGAUGUGCCCAGAUGGGAUUAGCUAGUGGGUGGGGUAAUGGAUCACCGAGGCGACGAUCCCUAGCUGGUCGGAGAGGAUGACCAGCAACCCUGGAACUGAGACACGGCCCAGACUCCUACGGGAGGCAGCAGAGGGGAAUAUGGCACAAUGGGAGCAAGCCUGAUGCAGCCCUGCCGCGUGUAGGAAGAAGGCCUUCGGGUUGUAAAGUACUUUCAGCGAGGAGGCGUUACUCGCAGAAGAAGCACCGGCUAACUCCGUGCCAGCAGCCGCGGUAAUAC
rnacentral:rRNA from 1 species